UCACUAAUAACCUGUAGUGUUUGUCAAAAAGUAUUGUAUUUUUCAAAAAUUUAUCUUGUUAAUUUGUUUAAGAAAAAAAUAAAUAAUUUUUUGCACUUGGCCCCUUUCUGAAAUAAAGUUGGUGGUUACACAAUUUUUAAGCAAGGAGUCAUGCGUUGUUUGGCCCCUUUCUGCACUAAACGCUAAUUUCUCUGCGCUGCCAAGGCAACACUAUGGCAGCAAUUGAUUCCUUUCUGCAACAAAAGCUGUAUUUACGUUUAAAUUAAAAAAUUCCACCAAAAACUCAUUUUGUCAAAAUUAGUCACUUGACCCCUUUCUGAAAUAAACGAUUCAAUUAGGAGGAUGGCAGCCAAAGAAGACGACGUCCUCCGACAAAAUUCUAUCAAAGCCCAGAUGAAAGUAGCAGCGAUUCCGGUUCAGAGUUACAGUAAAAUCAAAAAAAUCACAUCUUCCUCCACAAAGUCCAGACUUUAGCUUGCAUAAAGGAACAGGUGAUUCACAAUUAUCGGGUCCAUGUGAUUUGGAAACAGUUAACAACGCUGCAAGGGAGGUGUGUUCCUGUGGAAGCUACCAGAAGAAAAAUGAAGGUAUGAAAAAUUGUAAACAUCUGCUUACAGCUGAAAGAUUCUAAAGCUAGUGGGAGAUGGCGUCUAUGUGCAGUAUUAACGCAGAGUUGUUGUGUGAGAAAGUAUUUGAAAUAAUAAAAUAACGAAUUUUAUAUUGUUAUUUCAUUAUUUUGAAUACUUUUCUCUCAUACACCGACUAUAGUACUGCCAUAGUACUAUAGACGCCAUCCCCAACUGACACCUUUAGAAUCCAUGUACUGUAUGUUCACAUCAAUUUUCUCUUUCAGAAUAUUUUAAACAAAUUUUAAGGAAGCUGUCCUUGCUAGAGAUAAGAGUCACUGACUUAGCAAAUGAACAAACAAAACUGAACGAGCAAAUGAAAUUAGCCAUUCCAAAUCACGUGAUAUAAUAUGGCUGCUGGAUGGCGAAACUGUCAUCCAUAGGCGUAUCCAAUGUUUAAACCACUUCAUAUUUAAUUUGCUAUCACAAUUUCACAAAUUUCGCUACACAAUUAACAAAAAAACAAAACCAAACAGGAUAUUCUUUACAAAUUUGUCAAUAUUUAAUGCAAACAUUAGAUACGCCAUGACCACCCCCCUAAACUAUGUCUAUGGCCAUGUCAGUUUAGCCAUCCACCGGCCACCACUGACAGUUCAUUGGAAUCCCUAAUUAAACCAAUAAACAACAUCCCAGCCAACUGGAAUAAUGGAUCCAUGGGAAGAUUUUUCCCUAUCAUCAAACUCAGAGGAAGAGCUUAUUAAUUUUGAGGAUUCCUUAAAGUCUCCAGAAAGGAAACUUCAAUCCGUAAGUUUUAUGCUGUUACUAAUACCAAAGAAUACUCCAUCCAACAAGAAGCGAAAGCAUCGACUAUUUCACGAUCCAAAUUUCUUUGCGCAUGUACGAUCCGCCAUGUUUCAUGUAUUAUUUCUUAUUUCUCAACCUAACCCCUAACAACUGUUGUUGAACCUAACAAAUAAUGUGAAUGUAUUUGUAAAAUUAUUGUGUUGUUUAGUCUUUUCUAAUUGUAGAAAAAAGAAUAAUACUAUUAAACAUACCUAUUGUUAAAAUAAACUCUCAUUGUGAUGGCUCCACGCUAAGGUGGAUUUUCUUGUGUGAUUCGUACUGGGAUGCCCCACUAGAUCGUAAACAAAUAAUUCUCUUUUCAGUACCGAGACCGAGAAAUCGUAGCAGGUAAACGAUCGUUGGGCAAUGAGAGAAGUUCCUUUUAAACAUUUAUAUGAUUCAUUUUCAAACAUUUAUGUGAUUCCAUAUACGUACCUAUCUAUUAAAAUUAUUUAUUCCCAGAUUUUUAAUAAAGAAUAAAAACAAUUUAAACAUA
rnacentral:lncRNA from 1 species